AGCAGCUCUUCCACCAGCUUCCAUCUUCUCUUCUAGGGUUUCGCCGAGGGCGGCGCAGAGUCGAAGAGCACGCGAGAAGAAAUGGCGAGGAUCAAGGUUCAUGAGUUGAGGCAGAAAUCGAAGGCGGAUCUGUUGUUGCAGCUUAAGGAUCUUAAGGCGGAGCUUGCUCUCCUUCGAGUCGCCAAAGUCACCGGUGGUGCCCCGAACAAGCUGUCCAAAAUCAAGGUAGUGAGAUUGUCGAUCGCUCAAGUUUUGACAGUAAUUUCUCAGAAGCAGAAGGCGGCGUUGAGGGAAGCUUACAAGAAGAAGAAGCUUUUGCCUCUCGAUCUUCGCCCCAAGAAGACCAGGGCCAUUCGUAGAAGGCUCACCAAGCACCAGGCUUCUUUGAAGACCGAGAGAGAGAAGAAGAAAGAAAUGUACUUUCCAUUGAGGAAAUAUGCUAUUAAGGUGUAGUAUUUUCCGGUAGUCGAAUUUUAUAUGCAACGGCAGACCAAUUUUGUUGACAAGUUUUGUCUCGUAUUCUUGAUAAUCUUAUGUCGGAUACUCUACUCUUGAGGUUUUCCUCCCUAAACCAAGGUGUUUCAUUUCCAUCUGACAAUUAUAUAUUUUUGACAGUGUA
rnacentral:misc_RNA from 1 species